UAUGCUCCUAGAUGGUCAAGAUAUUAUUAUUUAAUGUUUUUAUUUGAUUAACAAUCAAUCACUAGUUUAUAAUUUAAAAAUGAACUUAGAUUCAUUGUUGAUUUAAGCAAUGUUGAUCUUUUUAAUAAGAGUGAUGAUACAACCACAAACUCUUGUAUAAACUUAUUUUGUACAAACUGAUAUGACAUUAAUUCAUUGAUUGAAUGAAAAUAAAAAAUAAAAAAUAAAUAAAUCAUGUGGGCAAAGAGAUAUUUAAUUCAACUAAUAAAUUAACGCCACAUCAAUUUGUACAAAAUAAAUUUCUACGAGAGUUUGUGGCUGUAUCAUUAUUCUUUUAAUAAUGUACAAAAGGUUAAAAUGUUGUAUACACAAAGAUCGUUAAAUUAACACUAAAUUCAAAUUCUUAAAGAAUAUAAACUUUAAAUUAACACUGAAUCCAAAUUCUUAAAGGAUAUAAACUUUAAAUUAACACUGAAUCCAAAUUCUUAAAGGAUAUAAACCUUCAUAUUUCUUAGUAAGAACAAAAUCCCAUAGCAUACUCUUAACUAGGAGAGUUUAUAGAUUGGAAUCCACUAACAAGAAAGAAGAUUUCUUGGCCAAAAGUAGGUUAUUCAAGAUUUCAAAUAUAGUCUAACAUAGCAAAAAACAAUUCACCACUUCGAUUUGUCAGAAACCAAUAUCUAUGAAUUUUACUUUUAAAAAUAUUGUGCAUGUGGGCUAGUCUAUGCUUUAAGUGAUAGCCCAAUUUAGUCAAAAUCCUCUUUGCUUUGAUUUGUCAGAAUCCAAAAAGGCGCGGCAGUUUUUUUCUCAGGAGUAUCGCUUCUUACAUUUGUCCCAUGCAACCGUGUUGCGCAUGUUUUCAUGCAAUACAAAUUAAAUUGUGUAUAGGAUACAAAGAGAAAUUGGGGCAAUUAUCAUGCUACAGAUACAAAUUUGAAGAAACUUAAUU
rnacentral:lncRNA from 1 species